rnacentral:rRNA from 1 species
CAGAGACUGCAAGCGUUAUUCGGAUUCACUGGGCGUAAAGGGUGCGCAGGCGGCCGUGUGUGUGAGGCGUGAAAGCCCGGGGCUUAACCCCGGAAUUGCACCUCAAACUACAUGGCUAGAGCAUUGGAGAGGGUAGCAGAAUUCAUGGUGUAGCAGUGAAAUGCGUAGAUAUCAUGAGGAAUACCAGAGGCGAAGGCGGCUACCUGGACAAUUGCUGACGCUCAGGCACGAAAGCGUGGGGAGCAAAAGGGAUUAGAUACCCCUGUAGUCCACGCCCUAAACGGUGCACACUAGGUCUUGGCGGAUUCGACCCCCCCAGGGCCCCAGCUAACGCGUUAAGUGUGCCGCCUGAGGACUACGGCCGCAAGGCUA